UCAGACCCAAACCCGAUUCCCCGAUGCACCGACACACGCACGAUCUAAAAUUCCUCCUCCUGCGGCGGCGGCGGCGGCCCAGAUCCCUCAACCAAGAGCUGGGCGAGUACGACCAAUGGAGGCGUGUUCCAGUGGGGAAGCACCUCAGAGCUGAUCAGAUCGGAGAGGAGCAGAUCGGAUGACUCCUGGCCGUUGUGUCGCCGCCCACCCGGUUAUGCAGAGCAGAUCCGAGCUCGCCGGCUACUAAGCUCCGCCCUACUUUGUGCUCGUCACUGGUCACUGCCUCCCCAUCCGAGGUUCCAGGAGCGGUGGGUUCGUCGCUUCCUCCUUCACCUCGUCGGCUGCAAGCAGAUAGCAAUGCAGUUCAUUAGCAGAUACAAACUGGGAUUAGCAGCACAAGAAGCUCAAUGAGCAAGAAGCACUCGGUGAGCAUGAAGCACAAGAUGCAAAGGCUGUAGCUUUUAUGUGAUGUACCACCAAGAUAGUAAUGCAGCUUUUAAUGGCCGUGCUUGUUGGGUUGUGAUUAUUUUAGUCUACUUAGUCUUACCCGUGUUGUAACAAAAGUAAUCCUCUCAUGCUAUGUAGCAUUUGAUAUGUAUGUAUCUCUUCUGUUUGUGUCUUAUAUGGGAUCGUCAGGUUUGAAAUGUAUGCUUAGGUAUGCUUGAAGUGGGUGGUUAAAUUUGUCA